GGUUCGUUGGUGUAGUUGGUUAUCACGUCAGUCUAACAGUCUAAACAACUGAUUAGGGUGCACUGAAGGUCCUGAGUUCGAGUCUCAGACGAAUCA